GGAUUGCCUUAGUAACGGCGAGUGAAGCGGCAAAAGCUCAAAUUUGAAAUCUGGUACCUUCGGUGCCCGAGUUGUAAUUUGGAGAGGGCAACUUUGGGGCCGUUCCUUGUCUAUGUUCCUUGGAACAGGACGUCAUAGAGGGUGAGAAUCCCGUGUGGCGAGGAGUGCGGUUCUUUGUAAAGUGCCUUCGAAGAGUCGAGUUGUUUGGGAAUGCAGCUCUAAGUGGGUGGUAAAUUCCAUCUAAAGCUAAAUAUUGGCGAGAGACCGAUAGCGAACAAGUACAGUGAUGGAAAGAUGAAAAGAACUUUGAAAAGAGAGUGAAAAAGUACGUGAAAUUGUUGAAAGGGAAGGGCAUUUGAUCAGACAUGGUGUUUUGUGCCCUCUGCUCCUUGUGGGUAGGGGAAUCUCGCAUUUCACUGGGCCAGCAUCAGUUUUGGUGGCAGGAUAAAUCCAUAGGAAUGUAGCUUGCCUCGGUAAGUAUUAUAGCCUGUGGGAAUACUGCCAGCUGGGACUGAGGACUGCGACGUAAGUCAAGGAUGCUGGCAUAAUGGUUAUAUGCCGCCCGUCUUGAAACACGGACCAAGGAGUCUAACGUCUAUGCGAGUGUUUGGGUGUAAAACCC
rnacentral:rRNA from 1 species